rnacentral:rRNA from 1 species
GGUUAAGUUAGAAAGGGCGCACGGUGGAUGCCUUGGCACUAGGAGCCGAAGAAGGACGGGACUAACACCGAUAUGCUUUGGGGAGCUGUACGUAAGCGUUGAUCCAGAGAUUUCCGAAUGGGGGAACCCACUAUCUUUAGUCGGAUAGUAUCCUUACGUGAAUACAUAGCGUGAGGAAGGCAGACCCAGGGAACUGAAACAUCUAAGUACCUGGAGGAAGAGAAAGAAAAAUCGAUUUCCUGAGUAGCGGCGAGCGAAACGGAAAGAGCCCAAACCAAGAAGCUUGCUUCUUGGGGUUGUAGGACACUCUAUACGGAGUUACAAAAGAAAGUUAUAAAUGAAGCGGUCUGGAAAGGCCCGCCAAAGACGGUAACAGCCCGGUAGUUGAAAUGGCUUUCCCUCCAGAGUGGAUCCUGAGUACGGCGGAACACGUGAAAUUCCGUCGGAAUCCGGGAGGACCAUCUCCCAAGGCUAAAUACUCCCUAGUGACCGAUAGUGAACCAGUACCGUGAGGGAAAGGUGAAAAGCACCCCGGAAGGGGAGUGAAACAGUUCCUGAAACCGUGUGCCUACAAGUAGUUAGAGCCCGUUAAUGGGUGAUAGCGUGCCUUUUGUAGAAUGAACCGGCGAGUUACGAUUUGUUGCAAGGUUAAGCGGAAAAAGCGGAGCCGUAGCGAAAGCGAGUCUGAAUAGGGCGCAUAAGUAACAGGUCGUAGACCCGAAACCAGGUGAUCUACCCAUGUCCAGGAUGAAGGUAAGGUAAUACUUACUGGAGGUCCGAACCCACGCACGUUGAAAAGUGCGGGGAUGAGGUGUGGGUAGCGGAGAAAUUCCAAUCGAACUUGGAGAUAGCUGGUUCUCUCCGAAAUAGCUUUAGGGCUAGCCUCGAGGUAAAGAGUCAUGGAGGUAGAGCACUGUUUGGACUAGGGGCCCUUCUCGGGUUACCGAAUUCAGAUAAACUCCGAAUGCCAUGUACUUAUACUCGGGAGUCAGACUGCGAGUGAUAAGAUCCGUAGUCGAAAGGGAAACAGCCCAGACCACCAGUUAAGGUCCCCAAAUAUAUGUUAAGUGGAAAAGGAUGUGGGGUUGCUUAGACAACCAGGAUGUUGGCUUAGAAGCAGCCACCAUUGAAAGAGUGCGUAAUAGCUCACUGGUCGAGUGACCCCGCGCCGAAAAUGUACCGGGGCUAAACAUAUUACCGAAACUGUGGAUGAACCUCUUUAGAGGUUCGUGGUAGGAGAGCGUUCUAAGGGCGGUGAAGUCAGACCGGAAGGACUGGUGGAGCGCUUAGAAGUGAGAAUGCCGGUAUGAGUAGCGAAAGAAGGGUGAGAAUCCCUUCCACCGAAUAUCUAAGGUUUCCUGAGGAAGGCUCGUCCGCUCAGGGUUAGUCGGGACCUAAGCCGAGGCCGAUAGGCGUAGGCGAUGGACAACAGGUAGAGAUUCCUGUACCAGUGCUAAUUGUUUAACCGAUGGGGUGACACAGAAGGAUAGGGAAUCGCACGAAUGGAAAUGUGCGUCCAAGCAGUGAGUGUGAGAAGUAGGCAAAUCCGCUUCUCGCGAAGCAUGAGCUGUGAUGGGGAAGGAAAUUAAGUACGGAAGUUCCUGAUUUCACGCUGUCAAGAAAAGCCUCUAGGAAGAGUAGUACUGCCCGUACCGCAAACCGACACAGGUAGAUGAGGAGAGAAUCCUAAGGUGAGCGAGAGAACUCUCGUUAAGGAACUCGGCAAAAUGACCCCGUAACUUCGGGAGAAGGGGUGCUCUAUUAGGGUGCAAGCCCGAGAGAGCCGCAGUGAAUAGGCCCAGGCGACUGUUUAGCAAAAACACAGGUCUCUGCAAAACCGUAAGGUGACGUAUAGGGGCUGACGCCUGCCCGGUGCUGGAAGGUUAAGAGGAGUGCUUAGCUUCGGCGAAGGUACGAAUUGAAGCCCCAGUAAACGGCGGCCGUAACUAUAACGGUCCUAAGGUAGCGAAAUUCCUUGUCGGGUAAGUUCCGACCCGCACGAAAGGCGCAACGAUCUGGGCACUGUCUCAACGAGAGACUCGGUGAAAUUAUAGUACCUGUGAAGAUGCAGGUUACCCGCGACAGGACGGAAAGACCCCGUGGAGCUUUACUGCAACCUGAUAUGGAAUGUUUGUACCGCUUGUACAGGAUAGGUAGGAGCCGAAGAGACGUGUGCGCUAGCAUACGAGGAGGCAAUGGUGGGAUACUACCCUGGCUGUAUGACCAUUCUAACCCGCCACGCUUAGCGCGUGGGGAGACAGUGUCAGGUGGGCAGUUUGACUGGGGCGGUCGCCUCCUAAAGAGUAACGGAGGCGCCCAAAGGUUCCCUCAGAAUGGAUGGAAAUCAUUCGCAGAGUGUAAAGGCACAAGGGAGCUUGACUGCGAGACUGACAAGUCGAGCAGGGACGAAAGUCGGGCUUAGUGAUCC